rnacentral:rRNA from 1 species
GCUUUUAUCGAAAGUGGCGCACGGGUGCGUAACGCGUAUGCAACCUACCUUUAUCUGGGGGAUAGCCCGGAGAAAUCCGGAUUAAUACCGCAUAAAAUCACAGGAUGGCAUUAUCCAAUGAUCAAACAUUUAUGGGAUGAAGAUGGGCAUGCGUGUCAUUAGCUAGUUGGCGGGGUAACGGCCCACCAAGGCGACGAUGACUAGGGGAUCUGAGAGGAUGGCCCCCCACACUGGUACUGAGACACGGACCAGACUCCUACGGGAGGCAGCAGUAAGGAAUAUUGGUCAAUGGAGGCAACUCUGAACCAGCCAUGCCGCGUGCAGGAAGACUGCCCUAUGGGUUGUAAACUGCUUUUAUCCGGGAAUAAACCUGAGUACGUGUACUCAGCUGAAUGUACCGGAAGAAUAAGGAUCGGCUAACUCCGUGCCAGCAGCCGCGGUAAUACGGAGGAUCCAAGCGUUAUCCGGAUUUAUUGGGUUUAAAGGGUGCGUAGGCGGCCUGUUAAGUCAGGGGUGAAAGACGGUAGCUCAACUAUCGCAGUGCCCUUGAUACUGAUGGGCUUGAAUGGACUAGAGGUAGGCGGAAUGAGACAAGUAGCGGUGAAAUGCAUAGAUAUGUCUCAGAACACCGAUUGCGAAGGCAGCUUACUAUGGUCUUAUUGACGCUGAGGCACGAAAGCGUGGGGAUCAAACAGGAUUAGAUACCCUGGUAGUCCACGCCCUAAACGAUGAACACUCGCUGUUGGCGAUACACAGUCAGCGGCUAAGCGAAAGCGUUAAGUGUUCCACCUGGGGAGUACGCUCGCAAGAGUGAAACUCAAAGGAAUUGACGGGGGCCCGCACAAGCGGAGGAGCAUGUGGUUUAAUUCGAUGAUACGCGAGGAACCUUAC